UCCAGACUCCUACGGGAGGCAGCAGUGGGGAAUAUUGGGCAAUGGGCGCAAGCCUGACCCAGCAACGCCGCGUGAAGGAAGAAGGCUUUCGGGUUGUAAACUUCUUUUCUCAGGGACGAAUAGAUGACGGUACCUGAGGAAUAAGCCACGGCUAACUACGUGCCAGCAGCCGCGGUAAUACGUAGGUGGCAAGCGUUAUCCGGAUUUACUGGGUGUAAAGGGCGUGUAGGCGGGAUUGCAAGUCAGAUGUGAAAUUCCAGGGCUCAACCCUGGAACUGCAUUUGAAACUGUAGUUCUUGAGUGAUGGAGAGGCAGGCGGAAUUCCGUGUGUAGCGGUGAAAUGCGUAGAUAUUAGGAGGAACACCAGUGGCGAAGGCGGCUUACUGGACUGUAACUGACACUGAGGCACGAAAGCGUGGGGAGCAAACAGGAUUAGAUACCCGUGUAG
rnacentral:rRNA from 1 species